rnacentral:rRNA from 1 species
GACGAACGCUGGCGGCGUGCUUAACACAUGCAGGUCGGACGGAAAGGCCCUGCUUUUGUGGGGUGCUCGAGUGGCGAACGGGUGAGUAACACGUGAGUAACCUGCCCUUGACUUUGGGAUAACUUCAGGAAACUGGGGCUAAUACCGGAUAGGAGCUCCGCUGCAUGGUGGGGGUUGGAAAGUUUCGGCGGUUGGGGAUGGACUCGCGGCUUAUCAGCUUGUUGGUGGGGUAGUGGCUUACCAAGGCUUUGACGGGUAGCCGGCCUGAGAGGGUGACCGGCCACAUUGGGACUGAGAUACGGCCCAGACUCCUACGGGAGGCAGCAGUGGGGAAUAUUGCACAAUGGGCGGAAGCCUGAUGCAGCAACGCCGCGUGCGGGAUGACGGCCUUCGGGUUGUAAACCGCUUUCGCCUGUGACGAAGCGUGAGUGACGGUAAUGGGUAAAGAAGCACCGGCUAACUACGUG